GCGUUGAAUUGAAGCCCGAGUAAACGGCGGCCGUAACUAUAACGGUCCUAAGGUAGCGAAAUUCCUUGUCGGUUAAAUACCGACCUGCAUGAAUGGCGUAACGAGAUGGGAGCUGUCUCAACCAGAGAUUCAGUGAAAUUGUAGUGGAGGUGAAAAUUCCUCCUACCCGCGGCAAGACGGAAAGACCCCGUGGACCUUUACUACAACU
rnacentral:rRNA from 1 species